rnacentral:rRNA from 1 species
AAGGCCUUGCGUCGAUGGAGCGGCCGAUGCCGGAUUAGCUAGUUGGUGNGGUAAAGGCUCACCAAGGCGACGAUCAGUAGCUGGUCUGAGAGGAUGAUCAGCCACACUGGGACUGAGACACGGCCCAGACUCCUACGGGAGGCAGCAGUGGGGAAUAUUGGGACAACGGGCGAAAGCCUGAUCCAGCAAUGCCGCGUGUGUGAAGAAGGCCUGCGGGUUGUAAAGCACUUUCAGUAGGGAAGAAAAGCCUAAGGUUAAUACCCUUGAGUCUUGACGUUACCUACAGAAGAAGCACCGGCUAACUCCGUG